UACGUAGGUGGCAAGCGUUGUCCGGAUUUACUGGGCGUAAAGGGCGUGCAGGCGGUCUGUUUAGUCUAGGGUGAAAACGCCGGGCUUAACUCGGUGCUUGCUUUCGAUACGGGCAGACUAGAGGCAUGCAGGGGAGAACGGAAUUCCUGGUGUAGCGGUGAAAUGCACAGAUAUCAGGAGGAACACCGGUGGCGAAGGCGGUUCUCUGGGCAUGUCCUGACGCUGAGGAGCGAAAGUGUGGGGAGCGAACAGG
rnacentral:rRNA from 1 species